rnacentral:rRNA from 1 species
AUUGAACGCUGGCGGCAUGCCUUACACAUGCAAGUCGAACGGUAACAGGUCUUCGGAUGCUGACGAGUGGCGAACGGGUGAGUAAUACAUCGGAACGUGCCUAGUAGUGGGGGAUAACUACUCGAAAGAGUGGCUAAUACCGCAUGAGAUCUACGGAUGAAAGCAGGGGAUCGCAAGACCUUGUGCUACUAGAGCGGCCGAUGGCAGAUUAGGUAGUUGGUGGGAUAAAAGCUUACCAAGCCGACGAUCUGUAGCUGGUCUGAGAGGACGAUCAGCCCCACUGGGACUGAGACACGGCCCAGACUCCUACGGGAGGCAGCAGUGGGGAAUGUUGGACAAUGGGCGCAAGCCUGAUCCAGCAAUGCCGCGUGCAGGAUGAAGGCCUUCGGGUUGUAAACUGCUUUUGUACGGAACGAAAAGCCCUGGGUUAAUACCCUGGGGUCAUGACGGUACCGUAAGAAUAAGCACCGGCUAACUACGUGCCAGCAGCCGCCGUAA